AAGUCGUAACAAGGUCUCCGUAGGUGAACCUGCGGAGGGAUCAUUACUGAGUUAUUACAACUCCAACCCAUGUGAACUUACCACUGUUGCCUCGGCGCAGAGGCCUGCUGAGGACUUGUCCUCGGUGGGUGGACGCGCCGGUGGACUACUAAACUCUUGUUAAUUUUGUUAUUCUGAAUAAAAAACUUAAUAAGUUAAAACUUUCAACAACGGAUCUCUUGGUUCUGGC
rnacentral:misc_RNA from 1 species